AGCAAUAGCAUUCAGGAUUUUUAUCUACAAACGGCCAGUCGUAUCGACAUAGGGCAAUCGUCGAUAUUCUUAUCUAAUCUUACAUUUACCUUCCCAUUUGGAAGUGUACAUUAGAAAUUUAAACACCAGUUUCUAGUAAAAAAAUAUUAAAAAUGUAUGGAACCUUGGCGAGGACUAGUAUUCUAGGGAGAAGUGUGAUGAGAAAUUUCAUAAGGAACGGUUCUCAUGGAGGUGUACCUGGCGAGAAUAUGCCGAUCGGCCUUAAGAGCCGUGCCUGGAUAACAUGGAACUUCUUUUGGUACACGGCAACUGGUUUUGGCGCACCAUUUGUCCUUCUAGCUCUCCAAAUGAAGAAGAAGUAAUUUGGGUAGUACCUGAAUAUUGAUACAGUGGUAAGUUAUAAAACUGUAAUACAACUCAAAAGUCAUUUAAUGAAUUACUAUAGCGUAUAGUUUGUAAAACUUCUUAUAAAUAAAUUAUUUUAAUUUAAUUUUGGUAGUUUUAUUUCAAAAACAUUUUGGGUGCGUUCAUUAAACUACCAUUAUCAAAGGGGCACACUUCCAAUUUAAGUGAAUAGGAACGCAGUGGUAGAUUUCUGAAAAAAAAAAAAAAGUACAGUGAUUCUUUGCAGAGAAAAUC